UUGGCCCUGAGUCAUGGCCAGCAGUUGCUAAAGCUGUUGGUUUCAAACUGAGGCCUAAAGAAUGUCUUUCUGUGAUCCAAUGGCCAUUGCAAAGAUUUGGAAAUGUAAUGGUCGAUUCAUUAGAAAGAAACAUCU